UACGGGGGGGGCAAGCGUUGUUCGGAAUUACUGGGCGUAAAGGGCUCGUAGGCGGCCAACUAAGUCCGACGUGAAAUCCCCAGGCUUAACCUGGGAACUGCGUCGGAUACUGGAUGGCUUGAAUUCGGGAGAGGGAUGCAGAAUUCCAGGUGUAGCGGUGAAAUGCGCAGAUAUCAGGAGGAACACCGGUGGCGAAGGCGGGUCUCUGGGCCGAUACUGACGCUGAGGAGCGAAAGCGUGGGGAGCGAACAGG
rnacentral:rRNA from 1 species